rnacentral:rRNA from 1 species
UACGAAGGGGGCUAGCGUUGCUCGGAAUCACUGGGCGUAAAGCGCACGUAGGCGGAUUGUUAAGUCGGGGGUGAAAUCCUGGAGCUCAACUCCAGAACUGCCUUCGAUACUGACGAUCUCGAGUCCGGGAGAGGUGAGUGGAACUCCGAGUGUAGAGGUGAAAUUCGUAGAUAUUCGGAAGAACACCAGUGGCGAAGGCGGCUCACUGGCCCGGUACUGACACUGAGGUGCGAAAGCGUGGGGAGCAAACAGG